rnacentral:rRNA from 1 species
GAUGAACGCUGGCGGCGUGCCUAAUACAUGCAAGUCGAGCGAACGGACGAGAAGCUUGCUUCUCUGAUGUUAGCGGCGGACGGGUGAGUAACACGUGGAUAACCUACCUAUAAGACUGGGAUAACUUCGGGAAACCGGAGCUAAUACCGGAUAAUAUUUUGAACCGCAUGGUUCAAAAGUGAAAGACGGUCUUGCUGUCACUUAUAGAUGGAUCCGCGCUGCAUUAGCUAGUUGGUAAGGUAACGGCUUACCAAGGCAACGAUGCAUAGCCGACCGGAGAGGGGGAUCGGCCACACUGGAACUGAGACACGGUCCAGACUCCUACGGGAGGCAGCAGUAGGGAAUCUUCCGCAAUGGGCGAAAGCCUGACGGAGCAACGCCGCGUGAGUGAUGAAGGUCUUCGGAUCGUAAAACUCUGUUAUUAGGGAAGAACAUAUGUGUAAGUAACUGUGCACAUCUUGACGGUACCUAAUCAGAAAGCCACGGCUAACUACGUG